AUAUAUGAGAAUAUUCUCCUGUGUUAAAUGGAAAAUCUACAUCUCAUUAGGCCCUUUGAGAAAAUUCUUGUACAACUAUAUUAAUCAAGAGAAAUAAGAAAAAUCUAAUUAAGUGGACUGGGUUAGAAUGUGGCUUGCAUUGAAAGAGGAGUUUAUAUCUGUUGACACCGUUUUUUGGCUCGUGUCAAUCUGAUGUGGUGAACUGGGCAGCUGAUGGAAGAUUGGCCGAUGCUGGGGCAGAAGGACAAAGGUAGAAGAUGAUUUGGUGACUUGGCAUCACAGCCAAUAGAGCAGAAUUUGCGCUGAUUGAUUACAUCAGCAAGUUAUAGUGUCAAGUCCGAGUUUAGUUUAAGUCAAUUAUUUAGGAAAGUUUUCUUUUCUUUUUGGUCAAGUUAUGUAAGUCGUAAUCGACUAGGAGUUCUAGCUUAGGCUAUAAAUAGCAGACGCGUGGGUAUUGGAAAACAACCAACGUUCAAUCAAACAAACCUUUUACAUCAUUUGCAUCUACUUUUCAUUCUCGACGACUUCGUCAAACCCUAAUUGCAGUAACUUUUCUCUUUUACGAGUUCUUCUGGCUAGCAGGGCUGCAUCGGCUUCGAUCUCCAGCUCGUCGGUCAAAUUGACUGGUACGCAAAGCACCUUCACGCAGCUAUUUGAAGCCUGUACGAUGGAGUAAAGCAGAUCUCUCAGGUCCUCGUGUGGGGCCACGUGGAAGUCCGAUCGUCGGAUUUUUGCGUCAACAAUAUCAAGAACAACAACAAAACUACAACUCAAAUAAAAAAAUCAAAGAAAUUUAUCAAUUGGAUCCUAUAGGACACGGAUUAUUCCGCAUCAUAAAAUAGAUAUAUAUUUAUAUAGAUUCCAAAGAAAAGUUAUUUAAAGCUAGCAAUUGGAUUUGUAUACAAACGACAUAACCACUAUCAAGUAUAUUAGGACCCUCUCUUCUUAUUAAUACAACGGGCAGCUCUUUUGCCGUUCCGUUUCAAAAAAAAAAAGUGUCCUGGCAUGCAUGCACCACAAAGCCGUGGGCGCAGUGGAAGUGUGGCGUCAGUGGUGAAGCCAGGUUAGAGCAAGUAUAAUAAGUCAUACCCAGCAGGCUGUAAGAUCAUAUACGUCAUAAAAAUUCUAUGUGGAGGUGAGAGACUUAACAGCCUGGCUGCAGCACACGCAACCAGAAAAAGAUACCUCUCUCCCUCCCUCCCAAUCCCGUGCGUCCUUUUGCUCCUGCUAUUUGUUCUUUGCAGCCAACCCAUUAGCCUGCCAGGAGCCAGGUUCGCGCAAUGUGGAGCAGGCGAGGAAAGUCAAGCUUUUGCUUGGUCUCGAAUAUAGCAUCAAAGGGAAAGACAAAAGGCAUUUUCUUCAGUUUCUUUUCAGAAAGAUGCACCGUCCUAUGUGUUUCUUCUCCGACAAUGAACAAAUAUUUGAAGGACAUAAAAAGUCCUUCGAAUACUUGUUGAUUGUCGGAGAAGAAAUGCGGAUGUAAAAAGUAAUAAGAUGUUUGUUUUGAGGAACCACCACAUUCUGAUGAGGUGGCGUGCGUCAUAAGUUUAUCGCAUUAAAUUUGGUGAAAUGACUCC